CCUGGUUCUUUUCCAUUUGAAGGAGCAACUCUGCCAUGGUCGGGUGGUUUGGAGGCGGAGGUGGGACAUCGUCCUCAUCAUCCUCAUGGGGACCAUUACCGCUACCACGACCACGAGUUUGACCUCGAGUUCUCGCUGCCAUCCUGCUGCAUCAACAGUGCCUUAACAAGAUGAAUUGACAUACAACGAGAUCUGGAAGGAUUUAGAAACAAAAGGACGGUGGGAGAUACAUGAGUAAAACACAUCAUUCCAUUCAAAUUCACAGAGGAAAAUGAAGCUCUAAAUGAGUGGUGUUAACCAUGAGAAUCAACACAAAGUAGUAUUGACACAUCCAAAAAGGUCCAUAAAUGUUACUGAUUUCUCAUCGCCUAAAGGCGUGAUAAACAACAAGGGUGGAGCCAGAAGAAUACAACCACACAUUAAAACAAUUUUGAAUUGGAAGAGAUUGAAGAACUAAGCUGAUAUGGAGAAGGAUAAGGAAAAGAUGUACUUGCUGAUUUUUUUUUAAUUCCUUUUUAAAUUUUUGAAAAUAGUUUUCUUAGCGAUGCCAAGACCUAAACUAACGACCACCCACCAUGGCUUACCUACGGUCAGCCUGGCUCUGAUACCGACGCUGUCGGGACCCCAGGAAUUUAAUUUGUACAUGAUAAAAUCAACCACAUUGGGGCAGGUCAAGGCAGCAGCUCAUGCCCAUAACUUUGGAUGUUAUGAGUCAAAUGAAGCCCGAGUGAUCAAUCUUAUCCAUGCACAAAUAAAAUUUCCAGCGCCCGCAUACACAUCUGACCACCCCAGGAUCACAUACACGCAGAUUAUACAUGGUGGAAGGAUGUGUAUGGAAAACAACAUUGGAUAUCAGAACACAAGCUUUCUACA
rnacentral:lncRNA from 1 species